rnacentral:rRNA from 1 species
GAUGAACGUUGGCGGCGUGCCUAAUACAUGCAAGUCGAACGAAGACUGUAGUAAUACUGUCUUAGUGGCGAACGGGUGAGUAACGCGUGGGUGACCUGCCCCGAAGUGUGGGAUAACAGUUCGAAAGAACUGCUAAUACCGCAUAAUAUCCAAGAGAUUAGACGCUUUUGGAUUAAAGGAGUAAUUCGCUUCGGGAGGGGCCCGCGUCCCAUCAGCUAGUUGGUAAGGUAAUGGCUUACCAAGGCGAUGACGGGUAGGGACCUGACGAGGGUGGCCCCCCCAAAUGGAACUGAAACACGGUCCAUACACCUACGGGUGCAGCAGUAGGGAAUAUUAGUAAUGGGCGAAAGCCUGAACUAGCAACGCCGCGUGUGCGAAGAAGGCCUUCGGGUUGUAAAGCACUUUUUGAGAGGAUGAGGAAGGACGGUACUCUCAGAAUAAGUCUCGGCUAACUACGUGCCAGCAGCCGCGGUAAGAGGUGUGUGUA